GCUUCACCAUCAGCUGCUCCAUCCAGCCUCAGUACCCAGGAGGCUCUUUCCAGCUCACCUUCACCUCCUCCAACACCACCAACAACUACACCCAGCCAGCUGUCAAUCACUCUGCCCACUUCCUGUUCCCUGCUGCAAAGCCCGCCCACCAAGGAACCUACAGCUGUGUUUAUCGCGUCUUCGUGUUUUCUCGUAACUUCUCCUCUGAGAGCCGUCAGCUGUCUCUCACUGUCUCAGAUCCAACAGUGUUUGUCAUCAGACUGCUGCUCCUGCUGCUGAGCCUGCUGCUCUUCAUCUCUGCCGUCUGUUUCAGCCAUAAGGUCACCGGGAGGCAGAAGCCCCGCCCACCAGAGGACCAGGAGCUGGAUGGUUAAAGCUGGCAGUGUCCAGAAAGGCAGGCAGCUCAGCAGCGCCUCCACAUGGUGGAGGAAGUGUUUGCAUCCUUCACCACAGUGUGAACAUGA